AGUGAACGCUGGCGGUAGGCCUAACACAUGCAAGUCGAACGGCAGCACAGUAAAAGCUUGCUCUUACGGGUGGCGAGUGGCGGACGGGUGAGGAAUACAUCGGAAUCUACUUUUUCGUGGGGGAUAACGUAGGGACACUUACGCUAAUACCGCAUACGACCUACGGGUGAAAGCAGGGGAUCUUCGGACCUUGCGCGAUUGAAUGAGCCGAUGUCGGAUUAGCUAGUUGGCGGGGUAAAGGCCCACCAAGGCGACGAUCCGUAGCUGGUCUGAGAGGAUGAUCAGCCACACUGGAACUGAGACACGGUCCAGACUCCUACGGGAGGCAGCAGUGGGGAAUAUUGGACAAUGGGCGCAAGCCUGAUCCAGCCAUACCGCGUGUGUGAAGAAGGCCUUCGGGUUGUAAAGCCCUUUUGUUGGGAAAGAAAAGCAGCAGGUUAAUACCCCGCUGUUCUGACGGUACCCAAAGAAUAGGCACCGGCUAACUUCGUG
rnacentral:rRNA from 1 species